rnacentral:rRNA from 1 species
AGAGAUGGAUUGGUGCCUUCGGGAACUGUGAGACAGGUGCUGCAUGGCUGUCGUCAGCUCGUGUUGUGAAAUGUUGGGUUAAGUCCCGCAACGAGCGCAACCCUUAUCCUUUGUUGCCAGCGAUUAGGUCGGGAACUCAAAGGAGACUGCCAGUGAUAAACUGGAGGAAGGUGGGGAUGACGUCAAGUCAUCAUGGCCCUUACGAGUAGGGAUACACACGUGCUACAAUGGCGCAUACAAAGAGAAGCGACCUCGCGAGAGCAAGCGGACCUCAUAAAGUGCGUCGUAGUCCGGAUUGGAGUGUGCAACUCGACUCCAUGAAGUCGGAAUCGCUAGUUUUGKGUWCAGAWRGCCCMCG